GCGAGCUGUGGGCCUACAGUCGAGUUAAGACGGGGGGGGCAGGCUUGUUUCGUAAUUACAGGGCGUAAAGGGCCCCGAGGCGGCCUUCUAAGUCGAACGGGAAAUCCCCGGGCUAAACCCGGGAACUGCGUCCGAUACUGGAAGGCUUGAAUCCGGGAGAGGGAUGCGGAAUUCCAGGUGUAGCGGUGAAAUGCGUAGAUAUCUGGAGGAACACCGGGGGCGAAGGCGGCAUCCUGGACCGGCAUUGACGCUGAGGCGCGAAAGCCAGGGGAGCAAACGGGAUUAGAUACCCGAGUAGUC
rnacentral:rRNA from 2 species